GGUGAGUAACGCGUAGGAAUAUACCUUAAAGAGGGGGACAACCUGGGGAAACUCAGGCUAAUACCGCAUAAUAUCUUAGGAUUAAAGUUUGGGACCUUCGGGCCAAGCGCUUUAAGAAUAGCCUGCGUACGAUUAGCUAGUUGGCGGGGUAAGAGCCCACCAAGGCGAUGAUCGUUAGCUGGUCUGAGAGGAUGGUCAGCCACACUGGGACUGAGACACGGCCCAGACUCC
rnacentral:rRNA from 1 species